rnacentral:rRNA from 1 species
AUUGAACGCUGGCGGCAGGCCUAACACAUGCAAGUCGAGCGAGCGGCGGACGGGUGAGUAAAGUAUGGGGACCUCCCGAUAGAGGGGGGUAAACACUGGAAAACCGGGAUAAUACCCCACUCUCUCUGAGAACCCAGAUGGGAUUAGCUAGUUGGUAAGGUAAUGGCUUACCUAGGCGACGACCCCUAGCUGGGCUGAGAGGCUUAUCAGCCACACUGGGACUGAGACACGGCCCAGACUCCUACGGAGGCAGCAGUGGGGAAUAUUGCACAAUGGGCGCAAGCCUGAUGCAGCAAUGCCGCGUGUAUGAAGAAGGCCCUAGGGUUGUAAAGUACUUUCAGUCGGGAGGCGUUACCGACAGAAGAAGCACCGGCUAACUCCGUGCCAGCAGCCGCGGUAAUUC